GGCUAAUAAAGGAUGACUCAGUGGUGCAGCAAACUGUGCCAGCUUCCUCUUGGAGCCUGUGCACAGAGAAAUCAGGCCCAGGAUGCCAUGUGCGCUCUUGCUUUCUCCAGAAUUUGUCAUUUUAGGAGAAAACAUAAGAUUGCACCCAGGAACUUCCAAACAUUCUUUCAAACACCCUGUAAGGCUCAGUAGAUGCACCAUUGGUGCAGAAAACUUUAAGCCAGUCACUACUUUGUAACCCUCUACCCCAUGUUCCUCUUAUCUCCACUUUCCUCAGAUGGCCAGUCCUGACCUUUUCAUCACCCGAGCCACUGACAGCCUUUUUUACAUCCCUCCAAACAAAUGCAUCAAAAUCCCAGCAGCUGGGACACGUUUACAUUUGACAGGAACUCUGCAGCCCACCCGAGUCAAGCCGGAAUGGUGCACACUUCUUGGGGAUGAAAAGGAUUAGGAAACAGGGCCUGAUGCUGGUGUAAGCCCCCCGUGUACAGAAAAGGCUGGGGGAGGAGAGAUGAUGCUCUUGUGGAGAACGAGGACAGGUGGGGUCUGUAUGCCAGUGCUGCCAUCUCAGAUGCCUGUGGAGAAGAAACAAUAAAUACUAGAUAAAGUGCUUUAAGGGUUAAGAACUUCAAGGGGAGAGCCUGCACAAUCUCAAAGAAGAGAUAAUAAAGAGCGUGUAACACUAGAUCCAGCCUCUAUGUAAAGAUAAUCUACUGGAUGGAGGCUUAAUCCUAGCAAGGGCUGCAUAAAGUCUGGGAAAAAAAGGGGGUAUAGUGUGAACCCUGAAUAGUCUAAUUGAUCCCAAAAGUAGAGUUCCUUUUUAUAUGUAAAUAUCCCAUCUCCUUCCACCUCUUGAUCAUCCAGGGUCUAACCAAGGAUUUCCUAAAAAGACAUCUGCUGUCAGGAGAAAAAUCCAUCCUCUUGUAUAGAGCUCUUCUCUCUCACCUAAGGUUUCAAGCUGUGAGUUCUCUCAGUCACUUUAGUCUCAGAAGCUCAUGGACAUCCUCUGGUACUGGUGGUUGGAGCACAGCACAGACAAGAGGAUCUCUGUCCAUCACUCCAUGGCCAUGCCAGGCACAGUGACUCCAGAGCCAAAGUGGAGGAACACCAGAGAAAUCAUGGGAUUGCUUCAGGAAGUUUGUGAGUUUUGAGCACUUUCUUCUGCCUAAAGAGAGAGAACUCUGUGGCAGAAGCUGUUUAAAAUGAAGACACCACACCCUCGCUUUGGUCUGUUGUAUGACCAAGAAGAAUUACCUGAGAUCCAAGCAGACAGGCUUCUUGGGUGCUGGACACCAGCGUAAUUAAUUUUCCUGUCCUCACAGCUUUGGUUCUUCAGUGAAUGCAAGAAGAAGCACAAAAAGGCUGUGGAGCAGCCCAUGUGAACUUCCUCUUGGACAAUCCUUCCCCAAGGAAUGAUGAACCACCAGGGGCACCCUGGCUCCAAACACCACCAUCAUCAUCACCAGAGAAGCAGCAAGGUCACAGCUAAUGGUGAUGAUGCUGCCUUUCCACUCAGCCCCUUCUCCCUGGUUAAGAAACAUGGUCAGAUGGGUCACAGGAUGUGCAGGCAGCCUCAAAGCACCUGGAAUUUUCUGCUUCAGCUGCCUCUUGGCACGGAGAGGGAAGGGAAUGCCAUUCCCUGCCUAACACUAAUGUCACAGACACUGAUGGGAUUGGGUUAGGAAUUGUCUGGUCCCUUCAAGUAAGCUCCCCUUCUGGGAGACUUCUGCCUUGGACUUGCUGACAGCCACAAAGCCCCGCUCCUCCUGAGAAGAGGGGAGGUGUGAAGACAGCUCUUCACCAUCAGGGUGCCAAGAAGGGCAGUUGGAAAAGGACGGGAUGAGAAGGGUUCCUCACCACAGGAGAAGCAUUUCAGUGGUUUCCUCUCUUCCUUUUUUUGCUUCUGCUUGCUUGUCAGCUGGUUUUGCUUUCUUCAUUAUGCUGGAGGAAGGGGUGAGUUUGGGGAAAUUAGAAGCUCCACAGAACUAUCUGGAAGCCAGAAUAGGAGCCAGUCCCCUUCUUCACUCACUGUCUGCAUAGCAGAAGGCAACAAAAAUCAGCAGAUUUAAAUACACCACAGUCUGAUCUGAGGCUCACUGAAGAUCACUGACAUUAAUUAGACUUCUGCCUUGCUUCUUUCCAGCAGCUAAAAUGGCAAAGCAGGGGGAAACUGUCUAGAAAUAGAUGAUUUUACUCAUCAUAUGGAAACAGUUCAGCAAAACAGAAAAAGCAGCAGAUAUGAUUGGCCAAAUGGUCUCUGCUUGUUCUGCAGAGGUCUCACAACAUAUCCCUCUCACUUGCAUUCUAGAUGCAUGUGUUUUUCUACAAAUUGCAUUGUUACUGUAUAUUUCCUUGUCUGAAAAAUUUCCUUCAGUCAGACGAAAAUAAAAUCAAUGCUCUAGCUGAUGCUUGGAAUGAUGUGGCCCCAACACACAAACACACACAUCUGUUGUCAGAACUCUUCUGCCUUUCUUUUCCUUUCUUUUAAUACAAGUCUGGAAUCCACUGAGUGUUCUUCAAGUCUAAGCUCCAAACAUUUCAAACAGCACAAAAGGUAUGACAAGAUGAAAGAAAAUGUCCACAAAUAGACAGCUAGACAACUAGUUAGCAGCUGUCUGCUUUUCUUCAGAGUUUUUUGUGUGUGUUUUUUGUUGAGUUUGGUUUUUUUGUGGGUUUUUUUUUCCCCCUGCAGGGGGAAAAAAACCCCCAACUUUAUUUUUCAAUCUUGAAGGAACCGACUGCAGAUUCUUUUGUUCUGGCAAGACUCCAGCCCUGUUUAGCACUGGAAGUGGGGGAGGAGGUGAACUUAUGAUGCCAUGUGUAACCUUGAACCUGAGAAAUGUCUAACACAGUAUGUUAGUUGCAGCAGUUUAAAUGGCAUUGAUCAUUUUCAACUUUUGUAUUGUACUGAUCAUAACUUAAUGAGGUUUUGGUGUUCUAUCAAGUCAGAGUAUUUAUGCAGAAAAAGGAACCAAAAAGAGCAGGUUUUGAUUAAAAAUGUGUAUGGGCUUUUGGGACCUGGUUUAAAUAUUUCAGAUCUUGAGCAAGCAUGGAGCCUGCAGUUGAAGUUAUUUAUCUUCUCCCUAGACAAAUCUGGCUGGGGGGAGGGGUGGCAGCACUCAAACGCUUGAUUUUAAUUACUGUUGUUGUUUGCAAGUAUUUUUCUUCUGUCAUUUCUGUUCUCCUUCUCCCCCUAAACAGAUGAUCAGCAGACAACAUGGACUCCCGUCUAACUUGCAGAUUUAAUUUGGAAACCUGAGCAUCCAACGCAAAUAUGAAACACAAGCUGCAGUUGGAUUCUCCUCCAAAUCUUUGCUGCUCGCUCGGAGAAUUCAGUCUCUCCCUUUGUGAGGCUGGAAAACUUUCCCUUCUCACCUCCUUCUGGGUCUCUCUGUGUGUCCAUAAAUGAAUGUGUGUGUGUCUGUGUGUGUGUGUGCACAGGAGUCAGCAUGCCAGACGGCAUUCCAUAGCAGAAGGCAAUUUCUCCUUCCCCCCUUUAUUUGCACAUUUAGCAUGAGUUGCAUUCCUCCAGUACCUGAUGAAAGAAUGAAGUGAUAUUGUCAAAGGCUGGGCUGCAGGAGAUGUGUGGAAGAAGCCUUCCUUGUCUGGAUAGAUCACACAUAACCAGGCAGAGCAGAGUUUCCAUCCCACUGAAAUCAAUUUGUAUGGCAACACUUAACUCUGCAGCUCUUUCCAUUAGCAGCUUCCAAGAUAUUUUCCUUUCAUUUUUUCCCUUUCCCACCCAGUCUCUUCCCUGCACUUCCAGAUCAUAAGUUCUUCAAGACAGAGCAUUUAUUACCCUGUUCGUACAGCACCUGCUAUGUUAGUUUUAGUAGAAUGGUGAUCUCAAUUAGCAUUUUGACCAGCUUUCAUACAAAUAACAGAUAAACACACCAGGUUAACCCCAGAUCUGGGUGGCUGACAGAGGUGCUCCAGAUCCAGACUUCUCCAGAUGAAACCUGGGGCAGUGCUGGCCAGAGAGACCAAAUGGUUUUGCAUUUCACUUUAACACUGGGACAUAUUCUCCUAAGCACAGACAAACCUGAAUCCUAAGCUAGGGCUGCAGGUGGCCCUGUGGGUUUGCAAAACCCACCUUGAUCGACCCCAGAUGAGCAAUUGUUGCCAUAUCUAGCAGUGAGAACGCCUGAAAUUUGAACAGUAGCUUUUCUCAUUUGGCUACAGAUUUUUGUGUGUGACUAUUUCACCCCCUUCAGCCCAAAAGCUGAUGGGAUUUUACUCCAGUGGCCCUGCAUAAAUGCAAUCAGUCUUAACAGCUAGUGACAUCCCUCUCUGGAGGAAGAGUAAGGAUCAGGUUCAGGUUGUGGUUGUUACCCACAAGACUGAACCAUGGAGAAAACUCAAAAGUGUUGAGUUUUACCACUUAAGAGUGGUAAAUCCUUGCAGUCAAGCUGAAGGGAACCGUGGGGCUAUGCCUUGCCACCUCAUGCCUUGCUGGAAACACCAAAACCUCAAGCUCCUUGAACCAGUGAGGACUGUCUAAAAUAGAAAAAGGCAGCAAAGCACACACAGCUUUCAUUAGUCUGGGGGCCCCGUUUGUGCUUGUCAAGGUAACCCUGCAAAUAUUCACCUGCUUGAAGGGUGCCUGAGGCUCCUCCUCCCAGCUGAAGCCCUCAGGAUGUGAACAAGCAGCAGCUGAAGGCCCUUUUUCUGCUGCUUGCUGCAGUUCUUGAGCUAAGGUUUGCAGAGACAAGGAGGUCAUUGUAUUUGCAAGGGAGCCCAUGAGCUCAAGGCAAAGUCUUUUACAGAAGUGGGGCUCACGGGCACUGAUGGGGCUAUAGAUGGGUUCAAAACAAACAAAAACAGGCUUAGUGCCUGGCCUUUUCACCAGUGUAAGGAAGCACAGCCUCAUGGGACAUUACUCCAGCACCUUCCUAGCUCUGUUUAAGAAUAAGUGAUUGCAUCAGCUGUGGAGGACUGGGGAAUUGGGCCAUGAGUUAGCACAAGGUUAAAAAGACUGUGCAAAUAAAAAACUCGCUUUCAGCACAAAGGACAUCAUAGUUCAAGGCCAGAAGCUUCUCUCUGUUGUUCUGGAACUAAUUUCAAACAUGAAUCAGAAGUCUAACAUGGAGAGGUUACUGUCAAUAACCCCUUCCUGAGAGUGCCUUGUUUAAUGAGAUGUUUAACUGGGUGAUAUGAGAAUGAAUUCAUAAGCAAGUGAGGGAAAAGGUCCAUUGCUUUCUUUUCCUCAGUAAGGAAGGAACAAAGGAAAAAAGGAGACUGAACCAAGGGAGAAGAAUAGAGGAGAUGGACAACAAGUGAAAAAGAAAGAAAUUAUGUGAGCAUGCACACAAUAACAAACACUUUACCCACAAUCAGUGGCUCACCAUCAGGAAGAUGACCAUGUGCUGCUAAAAAUCAAGACCCUUGGCAAAUUCUCACAGGCAAGAGUGAAGGAUUUAGAACCCCAGCCCCAGAGGAGCCCAAUGUGCAACUGCAGGACUUGGAAAAUAAUUUUCUCCAUGGCAGUCCAGCCAGCCAGCACACCUCAGCAGAGAGUUCUGGGAUGGCCAUUGUACAUCACCCUGUAUAGCAGGAUCAUCUCUACUAUUUUUAAGCCUUCAGAGCAAAAUCUCAGCAAUUUCAGGCCACCAAAACAUUUCUUCACAGUAGUCCCUUUUCAAUCCUGUCAUCAUCAACACGUGGUAAAUGAGACAGUUCAAAAUCUCAGGCCUGGAUCUUGUACAGAUGUUUGAUAUCUAUUUCCUGUCAGGGCUCCCACUGAUAUCAACGAGCGAGGAGCUCAAAUACCUCUGUGGAGCCUGAGCCUUGGAGUGCAAGACAAAUACGUGGGAAGGAUAAAGACAAAAAAGAGAGCUGUUUCACAGCCUCCAGGCGGCUCUCAAUUAGAUGAAGGCAUUGCUCCAGCUCUGAGCCAGCCCUUUGGAGAUGCUUCAGCUGCCCACAUCUGCGUUACAGAGCUUCACUGAGGACAUUCACAGUGAGCUCCCAAGGAAAAACCCAGUGCUCAAGCAAAACACAAGUUGCCACAGAAUGUCAGGACACGGGGUCUGAAAUUUCCCCACUUUUUUUUUUUUUUCCCUGCAGGGAGUCUGUUCACAGAGCUGGUACAAAGAAGCCUUCUAGGCAUGGAAGGCUCACUGCUUUGUGUAGGCACGAAGGAAGGAGGAAACAGGACACUUCAGGUAUUUAUUUUAAAAGUCUAUCAUGCAUUUGGAUGGCUGCUGGUGCCAAAACUAAUCAUGCUAGUGGAAGAGGUACAGAAGCAGAACAAGCAAAGCAUGGAGAGCAAGUAAAAGGGAAGGAGCCUGGAAUGACAAGCAGGAAAGGUAACUCUACAGAUCAGAGGGUUUUCAAUGUGUUGCACAUGCUGCAGCCUUUUAAACAGCAUAUUAUGUCUCCUGAAACAUUUUAAACAAUAUAACAUGGUUCAAAGGUUUAAAAAUAUGGCAUGGCAUCUCCAGUGUAUAACUCUGCUGGAGCCAGAUAGUGCAUGCUGCCCUCACAAAUUCAGAGGAAGAGAAUUAAAUUUAAAGAGGAAACAAAAUGCUCAUUUUAAUCACCCAUUGUCCUUUGAGGAUCUUUUUCUGUCCCCUUCAUAGUGUAAUGCAGAGUAACAGGCAAUUGCCAUAUCCCCAGCUGAUAGUUAGGCUGCCCAGGAUCCCAGUGUUAUAAACUCCCUAUUUUCUCUGGCCUCUUUCACAGAUGCAUCUUCAUAUACACUGACAAUUGCAUCAGUGCCAUUACCUUUGGAUAGAAAAGCCCGAAAAGUUAAAUCAUUUGUAGCCAAAGGCAACAUAAUCAGCUGUCCUUAUUACUUACAGAAUACGUGGGGUUUGCACGUGGAGAAAUUACAGAGGUGCAAAGGGCUGACUAAUGAAAGUGCAGAAAGGAUGUGCACGUGAGGUAUUCGCCUCAGGAUGAGGAAGUAUGGCAUUAUCUGAAUCACACUGCACCCAGAAAUCAUCCCUCCCUGCUAUUUGGUGUCCUUCAAGAAACAAAUCCCACCCACAAGGCUUUUAAUGGACUCUGGCAAGGGGCUUCAUUAACUGAGGUUUCAAGGCAUCCAAAAUACUUUGUGCAGGCCCAGCCAUCUUUUUACCCAGGUAUAAAUUGCAAUGGGUGCAAACUGCAAACUGUACUGCUUUGAGAGGAAGGGGAAAAAAAAGAGAUGACAACCAACACCAUCAAGAAAGAGAGCACAAAACUGACUCCUGGUACCUGCUUGACAAGAGUCCUUGUAUUCAGAGCCAGUGAAUUGAAGCAGAUGGACAAUUGUGGCAAUUCACCCAUGCAUCCUGAUUCUCAUUUAUCCAGUCCUCUUCUCAGUGCAGACUGGAAAAGCUCAGUGCUCAAGGUGAGCAGUUAAACCAUUGGGCAUGCCCUGAGGAACACACCUGGAGCACUUGUGAAUGACUGUGUGCAAUAACACCUCCUAAUCUCUCUUGGAAAUGCACUCAAGUCAAUCAGACCUUUCUCUUGCACACUUCUGGUCAGCAGGCUGCUCCAGAACCUCCUUCAAGUACUUAAGCAUCUUCACCUAUUUUCCAGAGGAAAAAGAAAAUCUCUACAGUGAGCAUGUAGCAAUUUCUUCCUGUCUUAGUUCAGUUCUUCAUUAAAACAUUUCCUGCCUCAACUAUCCCCCUCGCCCUGCUAUACUUAAAUUCAACA